rnacentral:misc_RNA from 1 species
GAUGAAGAACGUAUCGAAAUGCGAUAAGUAAUGUGAAUUGCAGAAUUCAGUGAAUCAUCGAAUCUUUGAACGCACCUUGCGCUCCUUGGUAUUCCGAGGAGCAUGCCUGUUUGAGUGUCAUUAAUAUAUCAACCUCCUCUUUUUUGAGUUGUUUGGAUGUGGGGGUUUGCUGGCCUCUUAAAUGAUUCAGCUCCCCUGAAAUGCAUUAGCAGAACAACCUGUUCAUUAGCGUGAUAAUUAUCUAUGCUAUUGAAUGUGAGGGCAGUUCAGCUUUCUAACCGUCCUUGGACAAUUCAUCAUUAAUGUGACCUCAAAUCAGGUAGGACUACCCGCUGAACUUAAGCAUAUCAAUAAGCGGAGGA